GAUGAACGCUGGCGGCGUGCCUAAUACAUGCAAGUCGAGCGAACGGACGAGAAGCUUGCUCCUCUGACGUUAGCGGCGGACGGGUGAGUAACACGUGGAUAACCUACCUAUAAGACUGGGAUAACUUCGGGAAACCGGAGCUAAUACCGGAUAAUAUUUUGAACCGCAUGGUUCAAUAGUGAAAGACGGUCUUGCUGUCACUUAUAGAUGGAUCCGCGCUGCAUUAGCUAGUUGGUAAGGUAACGGCUUACCAAGGCAACGAUGCAUAGCCGACCUGAGAGGGUGAUCGGCCACACUGGAACUGAGACACGGUCCAGACUCCUACGGGAGGCAGCAGUAGGGAAUCUUCCGCAAUGGGCGAAAGCCUGACGGAGCAACGCCGCGUGAGUGAUGAAGGUCUUCGGAUCGUAAAACUCUGUUAUUAGGGAAGAACAAAUGUGUAAGUAACUGUGCACGUCUUGACGGUACCUAAUCAGAAAGCCACGGCUAACUACGUG
rnacentral:rRNA from 1 species